rnacentral:misc_RNA from 1 species
GUGAUUAUUAAUGACACUAUGUUGGUUUUAUAUAAAUAAAUCCUUGCAAACGCAAAUGAGAAUCGUUAUUAUUGGCUUGUUCUUCAGGAAAUUCGUAUUUGUUUCAGUAGGACAAGACAUUGCUCACAUUGCUUCCGGAUUAAUUUUAAUCCAUUACUCCUUGCAGGGUAAACCGAAAUUUUUUUUCGGGCCGGUAGAUCAAACUUCUUAUCCCUCGAUUAUCGAGAAGUUUGGUUGAUACCGGCUUUUUAUUUUCUGCAAC